rnacentral:tRNA from 1 species
UGCCGGCUUAGCUCAGUUGGUAGAGCAACUGAAUCGUAAUCAGUGGGUCGAGGGUUCAAUUCCUUUAGCCGGCAU